GCCUUCAUGGUGUAACGGUAGCACACUCGGCGCGUAUUCGAGAGGCCCAGGUUUGAAUCCCGGUGAAGGUA
rnacentral:tRNA from 1 species